AUUGAACGCUGGCGGCAGGCCUAACACAUGCAAGUCGAACGGUAGCACAGAGAGCUUGCUCUCGGGUGACGAGUGGCGGACGGGUGAGUAAUGUCUGGGAAACUGCCUGAUGGAGGGGGAUAACUACUGGAAACGGUAGCUAAUACCGCAUAAUGUCGCAAGACCAAAGAGGGGGACCUUCGGGCCUCUUGCCAUCGGAUGUGCCCAGAUGGGAUUAGCUAGUAGGUGGGGUAAUGGCUCACCUAGGCGACGAUCCCUAGCUGGUCUGAGAGGAUGACCAGCCACACUGGAACUGGGACACGGUCCAGACUCCUACGGGAGGCAGCAGUGGAGAAUAUUGCACAAUGGGCGCAAGCCUGAUGCAGCCAUGCCGCGUGUAUGAAGAAGGCCUUCGGGUUGUAAAGUACUUUCGGCGGGGAGGAAGGGGUUGAGUUUAAUACGCUCAAUCAUUGACGUUACCCGCAGAAGAAGCACCGGCUAACUCCGUGCCAGCCGCCGCUGUAACAC
rnacentral:rRNA from 1 species